AGCUCAGUGUAAUGGUUUGAGUGCUGGACUAGGACUCUGAGAGGCCAGGGUUCAAAUCCCCACUGAGCCA